AUCGAACGCUGGCGGCAGGCCUAACACAUGCAAGUCGAGCGAGCGGCGGACGGGUGAGUAAUGCCUGGGAAUUGCCCAGUCGAGGGGGAUAACAGUUGGAAACGACUGCUAAUACCGCAUACGAUUGGAUUGCCCAGGUGGGGUUAGCUAGUUGGUGAGGUAAUGGCUCACAAAGGCGACGAUCCCUAGCUGGUCUGAGAGGAUGAUCAGCCACACUGGAACUGAGAAACGGUCCAGACUCCUACGGGAGGCAGCAGGGGGGAAUAUUGGACAAUGGGGGAAACCCUGAUGCAGCAAUGCGGCGUGUGUGAAGAAGGCCUUCGGGUGGUAAAGCCCUUUCAGCGGGGAGGCGUUACCCGCAGAAGAAGCACCGGCUAACUCCGUGCCAGCAGCCGCGGUAAUAC
rnacentral:rRNA from 1 species